rnacentral:lncRNA from 1 species
CUUCAGGCUCCAGGGAAGACCUUCCUUUGGCUGUGGUCAUCUCUGAUCAUCUCCAGGUUUCACAGUCUGACGCCUCAGGUGGGUGCCUGCACACACUCGUUUUGCACGUCCAUUGUAAACUGUUUUGACUGCUCUGCUCCCUAUUUUACACAUAUUUCGGACUGGAGCCCCGCAUCACUGUAGGCUUGGAUACUAUUUUCAAUGUGAAUUCACCUUCAUUCUUAAGAGAAAUAGUCAGACUUUCCCUAAAGCUAACCCCUAAAGCAAUGACCUCUAACCUGGAUCCCAGUCACCUGGAGGGAGUGUGGGGCCCUAGGAAAUGCAAAUGCCAGGUGUGCUCCCCGGAUAUUCGAUUUGAUGGAUCUAGGGUGGGGAAGGCGGGUGUUUCAAACCUCUUCAGGGGAAAGCCGCCGUCCUAGGGGAUCACAGGACGCCCGACCUGGGAGCAGCUGGCCUCUCACGUCCCGUUAGUCAGUGACAGUGUCACAUGUCCGUGAUUAGCGCUGUGCUGUAAGUCAUUGGUUUUCAAGCCAGCAAGCCUCAGGGCCACGCAGAGGGCAAAACGUCAGUUGGGUAGGUGGGUAGGGGGGUGGCCUGAGGAUUGGCAUCUAAGCAGCCCCCUAGAAACUCGAGCGUCAUUUAAGGGACUGAGCGUGGCGUUCCGUCCUCGGGACUCGCAGGGACUCUGGAAGGUUGCCAAGCCCCUGCGGCCCCGGGUGAGUGGAUCUCCUGCUGUCUGAAGCUGGAGCGCAGCUCCCGGGCCAGCGGUCAGCGACCUUCCACCCUCGCCGUCCUGACCGCCCACGCGGACCGCGCUGGAAGCAGGUCGCCGCCGACCCCAAGGUGUUUAGGAGCCUGCGGCGGUGGGCGCUGGUGGCGGGCGCCCCCUGCCCGGGCUCAGGAUGCACAGAACUGCCCUCCGUUUCUGCGGCGUCGGGUUUGCAUUUUAAACUUUUAAACGUCCACACCCGGAAGCGCGGGAUCCGCGGCCGCACUCUCAGCCGGAGAAGCAGCGUGGUCCUGUGACCCUCGCCCGGCGGGCACCGCGGGGGCGGCGAGCCGCGCUUCCACCUGCGGCGGUACCGGGCGGCACCGGGGCGAUUCGGCAGCGCCGGCCCGGUUCAGGUCGGUCUGGGAAAUAGCGGUUUUGCUUUUAAUGGAAGCAUUACAGAAUUUUAAGAAAAGGAGGAAAGGUGAGUUUUCGGAUUGAGUACGUUUCAGCCGAGACAGAAGUAAGUCGCGAGAAGCCGCUGCAGCAGCGUCAGGAUGGCCGAGCGGUCUAAGGCGCUGCGUUCAGGUCGCAGUCUCCCCUGGAGGCGUGGGUUCGAAUCCCACUCCUGACAACUGCUUUUUACCUACUUGCUCUACUUAAAUAAAAGAAUUACAAUCUUUUCCCCCGUCUGUUUCUUUGUUUUUAACUAUUCAAGCUCUGGAAUUAAAGUACCCUGAGCUUGGAAGAGAGCUCGACAACUAGUUUUAAUCUCAUCUUUGUUCCCCUUAGUCUCUCCUCUUCAGUUCCAGGCCUGUAACCAUCACUGCGGUCCUGGGGCCCUUUUGCUUUAUUUACAGCUUCCUCUCUGGGUCUCACCCCCCACCCACCCCACUUCCCCAGGCCGAUGAGUGAUCACUGGAAAAGCCAUCACUUUCCUUCCAAAGCUUUUGCAGAAGAUGUAUUAAUUGGUUUGGAUACGAGCACUUUUUUUUUAUUUCUUAUAAUGAACAUUUAUUUGACCAACUACUUAUAGACUCUAAAAUCAAACAAUUUGUUACUUAAAGAACAGAAAGAAUAAUCCCCCCCCAUCAAAGCCUACUCCAUAACUGAAGUACCCGAAACCUAUGAACCAUGUUGCUAAAAGAAAGGGGGGAAAGAGAUGUUUACUAAACUUCACAGGAAGAAUCAAUAAAUCUGGCAAUGGUUGAGUACACAUCAGACCACACUCAAGAGUACUAACCAGUCUCAAAUAUUAACUGAAAAUUUAAACUUAAUAUGCAUUUCCCUCUUAGAAAGGCUCAGAAAAUUAUUAUCUAUUAACUAUGCAAUGAUGCUAGUUACAUUAUGUAAAAUGAUAUAAUGAAGAAAAAAUAGUAGACAAUUUGAAUUUCCUAACCAAUAAGUAAAUUACUAGCUGUAAACAAGAACUUUUAAAAGUCAUUCUUUAGCUUUCAUUUACAACAUUUAGGACUGGAAUCUUCAGAAUUUUCUAGUAUCUUGAACAUCCCUGUCUUCUCUUUAAUCGGUCCUGAGGCCUUCAUUUGAUUAAUGAGAUCACUUGGAUCUAACAACAACUCAAGAUCUUUAUCACUAAUGAUCUUUUCUCUUGAUCCUUUGACUUCCCUUUCAUAAUCUCUAGAUUUUAAUAACUCCUUUAAUUCCUUGGGAUCUAAGAAGUUCUUAGAUUGAUUUAAUUCAGAUUGACUACCUUUGAAAUGUUUUUUGUGAAUGAUCAACUUUUCCAGUUUUCUUUUAGCAGCUGCUCUUUCCACAAUUUUCUGAUCAAUAGUAUUUGCUGUAAAAAGCGAUAUGCAACAACUGGCUUUGUCUAACCAAUUCUAUGACAUCAAUCCUGGGCCUGAAGAUCAGACUGGGGUUUCCAAUCACUAUCAUAAAUGAUAACUGUACCUGCUGCAGUCAGAUUAAUGUCCAGGCCACCAGCUGGUGUACCCACCAAGAAGCUAACCACAUCUGGAUCUGUGUUGAAAUUGUGCAAAUUUCCCCCUCUCUCAGAAUAAGACAUGGACCCAUCAACCUGCUAAAGUUGAAAUUUCUAAGUUGGCAGUAAUCCAUCCAAAUGUCCAACAUUCUUGUCAUUUGUGAAUAAAGCAGCACCUUGUGACUUUUUUUUUUUUUUUUAGUUCUGGCACAUUCUAUUCAUCAUUAAGAAUUUCCCAGAAUUUGUUACUAAUUCUUCAUCAAUCUUAAACUCUUGUGUAACAGGAUCUAUAGGAUAUUCAGUCAGAUAUGGAUGAUUACUAUAUUCUGCAGCUUCAGAUUAACUUUAGAUUCUAUAGGGAUAUUCACUUCCACCACGCUUCUUUCUCUGUCCACCUCUGGCUGCAUUUGACUGAUCAGUUUUUCCAAUUCAUUAGGAAAAUUAUCUAUUGUGCUGUAAUUUAUUGAUUUUCUAAUUUGCCAUUUGGGUCAUCUAGUAGGACUUAGCUCAACUGUUUCUUUCUCACUGGCUCCAAACAUAUUCGCAAUUGUGCGAUUCACCAUUGCUGUGUAAAAGACUUCUUGUUUCUUCAAAAGCGGUGCAUAAACAAUUACUUCUUGUUUAAGAGGAACUUCAAGAGCAACAUCAAAUUUUAGUCUUAAUAAGAAAGGGGUGAGAAUCUGGUGCAGCAUAGGCAAUACAUUCUGUUCUCUUUCUUUGGCUGUAAUGUCUUCAGCAGUUUCAGAAAGAUUAGUGAUGUCAAACGAAGACUCAAAGCUUGUCAAGCCAUCAAAUACAUCUGGCAACAAAAAGUUUAGCAAUGACCAAACUUCUGCAAUCGGAGAGCCAGAUUAGAGGAUACAUGCAUUUUUAAUUUUCAUAAUUUGUUAGAGUCUGUAAACAAGUCAAAAUAACACCAGGCAUUUUGCCAGGGGAAUGUUAGAGUUGGUAAACAAGUCUGGAUGGUGCCUGGCAAAAUGCCAGAGGGAGUGGUUUGAGAAGUAACAAAAGCGAGCCAUUAAGUGUGGAGAUUUCUUAUUGGUUGACUGAUGUAUCUAGUUUAUGCUAAUUAGAUAAGCUGUGUGGAAUGUAUAAAUACUGCUCCUGUCCUGCAAUAAACGGCUCCCUCUCCUGCUGUAUCAACGUGCACAAGUUGUUCGUCACCCCCUGGUUAUUUUGCUGCAGCCAGCCGGACUGCAGCAAUAAUUCACAAUGUAUUAUAGAUGUCAUUCUAUUUUACUUCAUUCCUUUGGCGCCGUGAUUUUGAACCAUGUCCUGUGCACAUCUAGCCCAAGUCCAGACAAGUGCUUUUAAUUGAUGCAUAGAGGUCAGCUGUGAGUUGGCCUGCCCCCCGGGGAUGGCUCACAGGUUGGGUCUCAGGUGUAGCCACUAUAGAGCACAUCUUCCUACGUAUUCCAUUACCAAGCUGUGCAAGAAUUUGAGAUAUGGCAGGAACAAAUUGCAAGUCAAAAGAGUUUGACAAUCCACUAAUUUUACACCAAUUUCAGAAUAUGGCCAAGAGCCAUGAGUGAAAAGCCCAUAAGCCAAAAAGGAGAUAAAAGCUUGGAGGGGCGCAUUAUUUGCAGCAAGUAAGUAGAGGGUUCGAGAUAAUUUGCAAAGUAGUGCUUUCUCCGCACAAAGAAAGUGAGGGACUUUCAUUGGGGAAACCUCUAGAUAUUCAUAUAGGUAAGAUUCCUCGUCUCAUAUAGAGGUUUGCCUCACAAAAAGGUGGGCAAACUCAGUUCAAGAUCGUAAGCCCACAUGAAAGAAGGGGAGGGGGAACAUUCCUGAGCAUAGAGUUUAGUCCUCAUGAGUUUCUCCAAGGAGCCUUAUCUGAAACAAAAAGAAAAACAACUUUGUAGCAGGAUUUCUAACCGUCUAUUAAAGGGAGAGCAGCUUUCUGCCAAAUAAGUAUAUAGGAUCCUGCCCCUGGAAGUAUGUGCCUUUUCUGAUAGCUAUCAGGAACAGGAGCCAAGGGGCAUGCUUUAAAUAUGCAGCUCAUAUUUAGUGAAGUCUCCAGAAAUAUCCCCCAAAUUCAAAUUUCUGACAUCCAACUUGCUCAUCUUGAACAUUAAUAGCUACAAUUACAAACAUGCAUAUUCAUUGUUCCUAUUUUGAACUUAUUGCAAAGCCCCAAUUAAUCAAAAACCUCAAGGGACUGGAAUUUCUCUUCACUCUUCCCUUUUCCAAAGGAAAUUUAACCAGGAGGCCAAAGCAGGAGGAUUGCAAAUUUGAAAGCAGCCUCAGCAUCCUAGCAGGUCCUAAGCAAGUUAGUGAGACCCUAUCUAAAAAUAAAAAGGGCUGUGGAUGUAGGAUGUAACUCAAUGGCAGAGCACCCCUGGGUUCAAUCCUCAACACCAAAAAAAAAAAGAAAAAAAGAAAAAGAAAAAGAAAGAAAGAAAAGAAAAUUUAAUCUACUACCAGGUUUCAUAGGCUAAAUAUAUGGUGAAUCUGUUUUAUGAUCAUUAAUAUUCAAAAUUGGCCUGUCCUCUCCUUUUUUUUUCUGGAAUUCCUCAAAAUUCAGAUCCAUACACUGAAAGAAAAGUGAAUUGGUAUGUUUUAGAUUGUCAUCAACCAGACAGGAAAAGAACAAAGGAAUGGAGAUUUCCCCUUGUCACCUGACUGGACACCAGUCACUCCAUUUCUGCCCACACCAACAUUCUGGUUGAACGAAUGGGAUUCUGAGUCUCCACUUUGGCCUUGUCAACAUAAGAGAAAGGAGGAAAUGAACCCCCAGGGUGAUACCGAGAAGCACUUAGAGGAUGAGGGCAGCCCCUGGGUCCAAUCCAAUUCAGGCUGCUGGGCUCAGCCAGAGGCUCUGCCACUUCACAGUCUCCCAGGCAAGUGACUCUUCACCCUUGUGUUAGGUGCCCUCCUCUUUAACAUGGAGAACAUAAUUGAACCUUGCCUCAUAAAUGUGCUGUGAGGAUUGCCUGACUUAGUACAUGUAAAGUGCUUGUACAAAUGCCAGCCAAAUAUAAAUGCCUGAGAAACGGUAAUUUUAUUUUGUCAUAAAUGAAGUACUCUUUUGUAUUAGAACCUGCCAAAGAAACAGAACCAAUAUCUAUCAUCUGUUGAGAGACGGAGAUGGGGAGAGAUGUCCUAUAAAGAACUGGUUCUCACGGGUAUGGGGGAGUGAGAAGGUCCAGGAUUUGCCCUCUGCAAGCUGGGACUAAGAAGGCAGGUGACAUAGCUGAGUUCCUGUGGGAAGGCCUGAGAACCGGGGAAGAGAGGCAGGAAGGGAUGGAGACGAGGUGGGUGAGGGCAUAGAGAGGGGCAGGCUUUUAUUCUAUUCAGGCUCCCCAGAGACUGGAUGAAGCCCGGAACAGCAACAGCGGGGGUUGGGGGAGGGCGAUCUAGUUUAUUGAGGCCACUGAUUCAAAUGCUAAUCCCAUCUGGAAAACCCUCACAGAUAAACCCUGAAACAAUGUUUAAUCUGGGGACCCUGGUACCCUUCAACAUGGCGUGGAAUUAAACCUCACACUGCUGUUGGCCAGGCCUGUACACAGCACAGGAACAGCCCCGAGGAGGAGACCAGCUGACACAGUGGCAGAUGCAGAGCAAAGAGAUGAAAGUUGCUGCCCAGGACAGGGUAGGGCACGGGGUCCCUUCUAGCUCCAUCUGCCAUAGCAGAACCUCAGCAGCCCAGCUCAGGGCCCUGUCAACCACAAGUUGUAAAUUCAGAUGCCAUCUGCAGUGCUCUGGUAAUGCAUGGUCUUUUUAAAGGAAAGCAUGAAACACUUGGCACUUACCAACUGUCAAAUCUAUCUGACUGCAGGUGAGGAUGCCUAAGGGCCUGUGGUCAUCUCCAGACAAUGAAAAGUUGGGAGACUUGAGCACAUCCCUUCCUAACGACCUCCACUCACCUGAACUGGGCAUCCACUUAGCUGUACUCCGUGGCUUCUUGCCACAGCAUCUAUUCCACCCCUCCACAGCCUACUUUCUUGCCCUGCUAAGUUCUGCAUCUCUUUCAUGGCUCAGUUUGGUUGUAUUUUCUUCCAUGAAGUCUUCCCCACCUCCUUCCACCUCUAUCCCAUUUAUAUUAAGUGUCCAAAUGCAGUUUAUGCAUUUGGAAAGUCCCUGUACUCUGAGUGGCAUCAUAUCCCACUCUCCUACAAUCAACAUUGAGUUCUCUGAUCCCCACACCAGCCUCCUUAGGACAGAACUCAUAACCCAUGUGUGAGGAACAUGGUGCCCGUCCCUUAACAGGCCCUCAACAAGUAGCAGCUGAGUGGAUAAACAGGCAUCUGAUUGCAAACCCUCGACACUUCUGCACACGAAUCGCUUUCAUGGUUUAUCAAUGUUUGAAGAGUCAGGAAGACUUAUGGGCUUUUGGGAAAGAGAGUAAGACACCUCAACUGGAAUAUUCUGUAACUUCUGUAGCCAGUACCACUACCUCAAUGACAGAGACUGUUAGAGUCUGUAAACAAGUCAGGAUGGCGCCUGGCAUUUUGCCAGAGGGAGUGGUUUGUGAAGUAAGGCCAGGGAGCCAUUAAGUGUGGAGAUUCCUUAUUGGUUGACUGAUGUAUCUAGUUUAUGCUAAUUAAGAUAAGCUGUGCAAAAUGUAUAAAUACCUCUGUUGUCCUACAAUAAAUGGCUUCCACUCCUGCUGUAUCAAUGUACACAAGUUGCUUGUCACCCCCCCCACACACACUAUUUUGCUGCAGCCGGACUGCUGCAAGAGACCGUGCAAUCUGUUGAGAGAAACUUGUCUGGAAGCAUCCCUAUACAGACCCUGGAGCCUAGAGCCUGUCAGAGAUAAACAGGAAUAAUGAGAACUUCCAAUAAAGGAGCAAAGAACUUGUUUGGGAACAAAGAAUAAGAUGCACCCAGGACACAUAAUCAGACCAGCAUGGCCUCUGGUAUGCAUGGAGAACAAGGGAAAGGUCAGAGAUUUUAUUGGAACAGAGAAAUCUAUACAGAUGUUUAUAAAAGAAAGUUCAUUGGCACUUUGGGUACUUGAGGGAGCCAAUGAACUCUGAUUGGCAUGUAGCAGCAGCUACUAAGUGAAGCCAGUCUUAAAGUCAUACUAGGUAGUUUUCUUGACAGUUGCUAAGAAGAAGAAUAUAGUGUUAAGGAUAAGGCAAGCUGUUUGGCUAUAUUGGCCCAGCAGAGCAGUUCCUGAACAAUCUUUUACUACCUGAUAGUUUCUCCAAUGGUCUCUGAGCUCUCUUUUUGAUGGGUAUGACAAGAAAUUUAUUUCCACAAGCCCGAAGUAUCAGGGGGUGGAACAAAGGCGGGCUUGGUGACAAGGCAAAGCCAUGGUGUAGUUUGAUAUCUGCAUCAGUGACCUGUGUCCUUAUUUGAGGGGGGUCUGAGGCCUGAGUCUGGAAUAAAGGAUUUCAUAAGCAGAAGAAAGACUUAGUGAAAAAGAGAUUCUGGGGCUGUAUCUCAGUGGCGAAGUGCUCGCCAGGCACUGAGUUUGAUCCCUUAGCACCACAUAAAAAUAAACAUGCUUUCCAUUAAAAAAAGAGAGUCUGGGGGCUGGGAUGUGGCUCAAGCGGUAGCGCGCUCCCCUGGCAUGCGUGCGGCCCGGGUUAGAUGUGUCUGCCGAAAAUUAAAAAAUAAGUAUUAAAAAAUUCUCUCUCUCUACCUCUCUCUCCUCCCUCUCUCUUUAAAAAAAAGAGUCUGCCUUUCCACUGUGGCCUGAUGCUUACAAGGAAAAGUGGAAAUUAAGCUGCAGGGUGGGAGCAGAAAUUCUCCCCAAAAGUAAAGUUGCUUCCUGAAUUAUUCCUAAAGCCUUGAGACACUUUGUUUCCACAGAUUGGACAGGCGAUUAUAUCUCAAUCCUUGAUAAUCCACAUAAAAAACGUGCUCUGAAGGCAAAAGCCAGGGUAGUGCAACUUCCUUUGCCAGGUGUUGGGGGCUGGCCCUUGGCAGAGGAGCAGAGGGCUGCCCACUUUCUCAGUGAACUUCCAUUUCUGUCGUGUGCUUCUUGUGAAGAGUCACUGUUAAGAGUCAAACCGACUUCUUUUCCUCUCUCUCUCUCUCUCUCUCUCUCUCAUCUGGAGGAGGGGCCUCCGUACUAGGCCUCCUUCGUAUCUGCCCCCUCUGGGGGGUGUGUGUGGCUCUGUGAUAGACAAUCAAGUGGAUGCUUCUCUAAAGUCACAGUGACAAGUAUUCGUUUUCGCUUUGAUUUUUCCUAUUCAGGAAAUUCAGGACACAGUACAACCUUCCAAAAUGAGUACUCUCAGCGUGUUUCGGGCUGCUAUGGGUUGUCACAGCUGCAGCGACCUCAGCAGUAGACAUACCGGUCAUUGCAAAGGUUGACUUUUCUAAAUAACAUUUUUUUGCAGAUGAUGAGUGCCCCAGUCUGGGAAUUCCCCAGGAAUGCAACUAGAAUAAUCAGAGGUUACCAUGUCGCUCGUAGAUUAAAUUUGGCGGCUUUCCUUUCUGCUUUCCCUGCUUCCUUUUGUAUUUGCUAAAUAGAAAUCAUAUGUGGAAUAAAAGUGUUGUAAAGCCCAGAAACGCAGAAAAUGGUUCUAAAACAACAACAAAUUCACUUUGCCUCUUUUCUUUUGGUAAAAACUAGAGACCAUCCCCAGAUCCACACAAAACACUUGGGUGGGUGGGAAACGAGGUGCAGGAACUUACAGCAGGUCCAUCGCCCUGGUUUCUGAAGGCGAGAACAGCGCAAAAGGAGAGGCCCCGCUGGGAUUCGAACCCAGGAUCUCCUGUUUACUAGACAGGCGCUUUAACCAGCUAAGCCACGGAGCCAGCACGCCCUCCGCGGUCCAGAUUGGGAGGGAAAAGGGAGGCUCUCGCUCCUGCAGCGUUUCCCGCUUCCUAGGUCCCGGAGCCGCCCGGACCCGCUGGACCCAGCGUGGACCUGGCCUCCGCCGCCACCGGGGCGCGGCCUUCGUCCCUGGGCUGAAGACCCUGCCUCCCCUCGCGCCCUCCGCGAGGUCAGGAGCCGGCUAGGUCCACUCACCCAGCGCCGAGCCGGCAACUGACCCGACCCGGCGGGAGCUGAGGACCCGCGACGACUCCGCGCGGCCCUGGUCGUGGGCGCUGAGCGCUGCUGCCCGCCCGCGUCCUCCCGGCUCUCGGUCCACGGAAGGCCUCCCGGGCGUCCAGCUCGGGCCGCUCCGCGAGGCGCCCACAGCUCGGCCCUCGCCGCGGCCCCGGGGUGGCUUCCCGAGGGGAGGCCGCGCUCGGCCGGCGGUGAGUGGGAGCGGACGCUGGGCGCGUCGUCCACGCCCGAGGCCCCCGGCCCUUCCCCAGAUUCCUUGUCUUCACGGAAGGACUGAGGGUCCACCGACAGCAUGGAAGGACUGAGGGUCCACCGACUUCACGGAAGGACUGAGGGUCCACCGACAGCAUGGAAGGACUGAGGGUCCACCGACAGCAUGGAAGGACUGAGGGUCCACCGACUUCAUCGAAGGAUGAAGGUCCACCAACUUCACGGAAGCACUGAGGGUCCACCGACAGCAUGGAAGGACUGAGGGUCCACCGACUUCACGGAAGGACUGAGGGUCCACCGACUUCACGGAAGGACUGAGGGUCCACCGACAGCAUGGAAGGACUGAGGGUCCACCGACUUCACGGAAGGACUGAGGGUCCACCGACUUCACGGAAGGACUGAGGGUCCACUGACUUCACGGAAGGACUGAGGGUCCACCGACACCUUGGAUGGCCGAGGGUCCACUAACAGCAUGGUGAAGAGAGGCGCACCUAGGUGUUUAGCAGUCUAUGAUGACCAUCGGACAUUAGGGGGCUUGCAUCGUAUUUGGUCAGGAACAGGGCGAUGACAGCACAGCCACACCUUUGACCAGCCGUGGCAGGCCACCAGACAGCACCGGCAAAUAGAAUGUGGUUUGGGUUUUCCUCUGACCGACAGCUGAAGACUUUAAGGAACCAAAUUAAGUUGUUUAAACUCCAGAGCUAAGUCUUGGAAGAAAACUGAGUCCGAGUGAUCCUUUUACAAAAAUCUGGAUGUGAGCCCGACCUUCCAUUCAGGUUCCACUGACCAGGAAGGACCAUGAAAACCUCACAUAGGCUCUGCUCCACACAUGACACUGGAUAGGUGCAGGCCCUGUGUCACAGGUUGCGCACAGUGAGGUCAAGAAACAGCAGGGGCAAACAGUGCUGCCUGUUGGACACCUGGGAGCAAAUCACAAAUAACAGGACAGGGAGCAUAGAGGAGAGUCCACCACUGUGCUAGUUUAUGUGUCAACUUGAUUAGGCCAUAAACACUGAUCCAGAUGUUUCUCUGAAGGUGUUUUGUAAAUGUGGUUAACAAUUACAAUCAAGUACCUUAAAUAAAGGGGAUUAUUCUCAGUAAUGUAGGUAGGCCUCACCUAUUUAGUUGAAAGACUUUAAGAACAAAGUAGGCUUUUCUGAGGAAAAAGAAAUUCUGUUUCAAGGCUACAGCAUCAGCUUCUGUCUGGGUGUUUCCAGCCUGUUGACCUUCUGUGUGUCAGACUGGCGGAGCAUGUAAGCCAAUUCCUACCAAUAUGCGUGUAUGUACUUAAUACAGUAUAUGUGUUCAUGGAUUUAAUCUCCUACUGGUUCUGUUUUCUUCCAGACUGUUUUUCUGACUUACACAAUCACUAAAGAAAAGACUGAAAGUCUGAAAUUUGGAGUUGGAACUGUCAAAAAAGAAUACGCUGGAGAAGAACAAGGUGAAACCAUACCUUGCUGUGGACCUGGCUGGGAAAUUUGAGAAAGACCCUCAAAAUCUGCAAAACAAAAGGAGGUUUCCAUGGACAAACACUGAGAAAAGUGUGGACAGAACCUCCAGCCAGCUGGAGUAAGGCCAUUUUGGAGAUACAGGAUGGGACCUCUGACUUUCAGAGAUGUCCUGGACCCUGCCUCCCAUGCUAGGUCCGUAAGGAGGUAAAAGAGGACCCUGGGCAACCAGUUUGCUGUGUUUGGAGCACUGUUUCUCCAUGUUCCCAAGUCCCUUUUCAGAAUAAAAAUCUCUUGAUUUUAAAGGGGAGACCACUGUGAAGUUGGAUAAGAA